AAAUUAUAAAUAAAAAUAUGGUCAAAACUCAAAAGUUAAAACAGCUAAGAUCUUUGAUCUUUCCCUUACCCGUGUAAACUACAAACCCUAUAUUUUAUCCCUUUCCCUUUGCUUUUGGUUUUGAAAAAACCCAAUUCUUAUAUUCAUUAUUCUGUUCUUAAUUUUGGUUUUGAUUUUUCUAUGUUCUUUCUUCAAUACAUUACAGAAGCAUUUGGUCGUCUCGUCUACUCGUCUCUCCAAGUCCAAACUGUUGUUGGUAACUUGGUAUGGAGAGUGGAGACUGGAGAAUCGGAGAUGGCUCUUUGGGGUUUGGGCUAAGGAGAUGGUGGCCAAUACUGUUUCAUGGUGGAGGGGGACC